GCCAUGCGCACGCGCCGCCCCGCCCACCCAGCGGGCUCUCGGCACUACGCACGCGCCGGUGGGAGGCGAGCGAUACUGCCUCGCGCCGGGAAGACCACAGCCAGAACUCCCAGCACCACAGCUCACACUCCUAUCCCUCCACCCUGCUGUCCUUCCCCUCACCUCCCCGCAGAGUGAUGGGAACAGCCAGGUGCCUUCUGUGUUGUGACAGCUGCGUAUAUCAGACUGAGUACCAUCAUUUCACUAUCAUCUUGCACUCUCCAUCCCAGCCCCCGACUGGUUGUUGCAUCAUAGACUUGGGUCAUGAGCUCUUUGGAGCAGGGGCCGUCUUUCCAUCAUGUGCUUGUGCAACCUGGCCCGAUGGGGUGACACCACAAUACAAUUAAUAAACAAUAAUAAGAAUGAAGUUGGCAGACACACGGAAAGUCUCAGGCCCUCCAGCAUGGAGCUUCAGGGACACACACACACACACCACAUGACGUGUGACAAAGUGGGGGAUUUUCUUAAGAGUUUUGCAUACAGUGUGGGUCUCAGUUUCCCUGUGUGCUGUGUGUGUAACGAGGUGGCGGGAGAGGGAGUUUGUUGUUACAGAGGACCAGGUGUGACCUCGCCUAGCAGUUGAGACCCUGGACAACUGCUUGGAGAUGGGAGACUCUAGUGACUGGUGACCAUGAGGCCCACCCCAGUUUGGCAGUCAGCCAGUUCUGGCCAGUGGGAGGACAAAGGACUGAGGAGAGAUGAUCCCAGUGCCUGACCCACUGGUUCCAGCCAGUGGGGAACAAAGGAUGCAAACAAGGAGACCCAGGCAACCUGUUUACUUGGGACCAAAGACAAAGGACAGGAGGAGCUGUGUGGGAGAUGAUAUAGGAGGAUCGGCUGAAAGGAGAAGGCUUCUGGACUGCAGAGAGAGCAGCCAGAGCCAUCUGGAUGCAGGAGAGACCUAGAGGUACUGGGCUGAGGGAGGUUAGGCCUGAGGCUCUGAGAGUUUUCUAUGCUGUGUUCAGACACUCAAUAAACCCUUCUGGUUUAUGCUG